GGAUAGCUCAGUUGGUAGAGCAUGAGGCUCUUAAUCUCAGGGUUGUGGGUGUGAUUCCCAUGUUGGGCCA